AUGAUACUCCCUCCGUCCGAAAAAGCUUGUCCCUCAAAUGGAUGUAUCUAGCACCAUGCUAGAUACAUCCAUUUGAGGGAGAAGCUUUUUCGGACAGAGGGAGUAUACA
rfam:Triticum aestivum genome assembly, contig: Triticum_aestivum_CS42_TGACv1_scaffold_472818_6AL